CCACCCUGGGGACCGAACCCUCGGAUGUUCUUUACCAUCACUGCGCUGGGCCUUUGACAAAGCCCGGGGCGAGCUGUGUCUCCCUGGCUGUCAUGUGGACCAGCGGAGUCCCCACCUGCCGCUUAGGGAGGCUGCGAGGAGGCCAAGGAGGCCGAGGAGGCCGCGUCAGCUGCCCCAGCCCAGGGCUGGGCCAUCAGAAAAUCCCGGGUUACUAGCUGACCCAGCCAAACCGGGUAUUCCCCAAUUCUGUGAGGAAUACAGCGUGAGAGCAAGUUCCAGAAACAGAAGCCAUCCGUGGUCUGAGGCGGCUACUGUUGGGCUGAGGCCGAACACAUACACCCAGGACGCCCAGUGAUUAGAGCUCUAGAGCACAGGUUGGAAAAAGAAACAUGAAGAGUGUCUGCUAUUGUCAUUCAUUGCUGCGAUCCCUCAGGGUUCUGGAAUUGUUUGCUUCCUGAAGAGUGUGCUGCUUACUGACGCAGGCCGUCCAGAUGCCCAAGGGGAGUGUCUCCGGGUUGCAGAUGUGCUCUAAGCACCUUCCCUGGAAAUCACAGAACUUCAGACCCCCUAAGGAAGGCGAAAAGCUCCCUGAGGAAUCGUGGUGGGGUUCUGGAAACCUGAAGGCCUGCGGCCACAGGCAGUGCUGCUUAGGUGAACUCUCCUCGCAGGAGCUGAAGGCCCGGACUCCAUGGUCUUCUGGGCCUUUCCUCACAGGAGUGGUUGGUCCAGUGAUGUUUCCAGAAGACCUCCUUUCCGCUUCUUCACUGCGUCGAGUCCAUCCCAUCUGACACCAGAGGCCUGUCCAGGAGGCCUGUCCCGGCCUGACUUUCCUGAGAGCAGGGCCAAGACAAAGGCGCGAACCCAGGAGGCUGCCGCCUGCCCUUCACGGCAAGUCUGGGUCUGGUUUCCUGUGAAUGUAGAGCUUUGAAUUCAGUCUACGGAUGUCUAAGCUUCUGUGGGACGGUGGGGUCCCCCUGGGUGCCCGGGGCAGGUUUUGCCCUCCUGCUUCCCCUUAGCACCCAGGCCAGGGCUCACAUCUCGCUUGGCCUAUAACUUUUUUCUUUUUUUAAGAUUUUAUUUUAUUUAUCUGACAGAGAGAGAGAGAGAGAGCAAGAGAGGCCCCAAGCAGGGGAGCAGCAGAGGGAGGGGGACAAGGAGGCUCCCCACUGAGCAGAGCCCCAGCAAGCGAGCGCGGACUCCAUCCUAGGGCCCCGGGAUCACGACCUGAGCUGAAGGCAGAUACUUAACCGACUGAGCCCCUCCAGGCGCCCCAACAUAUGACUUUCCUUCUUUGAACAUCCCCCCAAAGAAUUCCACAGCCGCAUCUAACCCUCACCGCUAACUCUGUCCCUGACAUGAUGCUCAUCUUUCCAGGCCGUAGCAGGUGCCCCUCCACCUGUUGCCCCUUCCCAAGCUCCUGCACCUGGAUGGUUUUGCAGAGGGAGGAAGCUCAACACCGGUCACCAUUCCUCUGUCUUAAGGGUUGGGCUGGUCGCCCCCCAGCGGCCCCCCAUUUGCUUUCCCUGGCAUUUCCAGCUGCCUUGGAAGCUUGACCACUCACCCCAUUGAACUGCAGGGUCAUUGCAUUCUCCAGCUCUGGGGGCUGUGUUCUGAUUUCAUCUCGCUUUGGGACCAGGAUGCCCAAGCCUUAUUUAUUUAUUUUUUUUCUGACUUGAGACACUUUUUGUUUGUUUACCACUCACGUCAGUGGGUAUCUGGAAUGCUGUGGCUUUAACUUCCCAACCUGGUUACCUGUAGCCAGGGUACUCUGACCUUGGGCCUCAUAGGGCCUGGGGGGUGCGGUGCAGGUCCUGGGAGAAGAGCCCCAGGACAGAGGUGACCUGGUCGUUGGUUAUGAGCUCAGGUCUCUGCCUCAGGGCUGGGCAAGACCCGGGAGCCCGGGAGAUGCCUGCCGGCCUCCUCAUCACCGCCACCCCAGAUGCAAGGGAAAGUCUCUGGGAAUUCCCUGGGAUCUGUGCUCUGCCCGAGACUUUUCCAAGAGACAUUAUCUCAGCACAUUCCACUUUAAUAAAGAACAUUUAAGAAGACGGCA
rnacentral:lncRNA from 12 species